rnacentral:rRNA from 1 species
AGUGCUUGAAUUGCUGGGAGGGAGCGAAUGGAUGCCUUUGUUGCCCGCUGGUUGUGUGCGGAACGGCGUAAAAGCUGGUCUGUCAACCAACUCAGCGGGCUCGCUAGUGUGGGGGUGGAUGCCUGGACAAAGAUCCCGGGCUUUCUGUUCGGGAUUGAUGCUGGUGUCCACUCUGUGGCCUUGGGUGUGCGCCUUUCUGGCGGGUUUGUUUACCCUGCACGCCCGGGACGCUGGUGGCUUUUGGUUUUUCAUUCGACCCGUCUUGAAACACGGACCAAGGAGUCUAACAUGUAUGCGAGCCUGCGGGUUUGACACCUCGCUAGGCGUAAGGAAACUGAUGCGUGGGAUCCCCUUUGUGGGUGCACCACCGACCGACCAUGAGCUUCUGCGAAAGGUUCGAGUUGAAGCAUACCUGCUGGGACCCGAAAGAUGGUGAACUAUGCCUGAGCAGGGCGAAGCCAGAGGAAACUCUGGUGGAGGCUCGUAGCGAUACUGACGUGCAAAUCGUUCGUCAGACUUGGGUAUAGGGGCGAAAGACUAAUCGAACCAUCUAGUAGCUGGUUCCCUCCGAAGUAUCCCUCAGGAUAGCUGGAGCUCAUAUUGAGAGUUUUAUCAGGUAAAGCGAAUGAUUAGAGGCAUUGGGGGUGAAACACCCUCGACCUAUUCUCAAACUUUAAAUAGGUAAGGUGUCGGGGUUGCUCCGGUGAACCCCGACCUUUGAAUCUGAGCUCCAAGUGGGCC